rnacentral:pre_miRNA from 1 species
UUUUUAGCGUAAGUAUGUCCCAGGCAAAAUUUGGGAUACACUUAUGCUAAAA